GAAAUGCGAUAAGUAAUGUGAAUUGCAGAAUUCAGUGAAUCAUCGAAUCUUUGAACGCACCUUGCGCUCCUUGGUAUUCCUUGGAGCAUGCCUGUUUGAGUAUCAUGAAAUCUUCAAAGUAAAUCUUUUGUUAACUCAAUUGGUUUCUACUUUGGUAUUGGAGGUCUUUGCAGCUUCACACCUGCUCCUCUUUGUUCAUUAGCUGGAUCUCAGUGUUAUGCUUGGUUCCACUCGGCGUGAUAAGUUAUCCAUCGCUGAGGACACUGUAAAAGGUGGCCAAGGUAAAUGCAGAUGAACCGCUUCUAAUAGUCCAUUGACUUGGACAAUACUUUUAUGAUCUGAUCUCAAAUCAGGUAGGACUACCCGCUGAACUUAAGC
rnacentral:misc_RNA from 1 species